CUUCUUCUACUUACAACUGAACAAGAUUUGUGCAGAUGAAACUGGUGGUCUGACAGGACAAUCCUGCUGCUUCACUGCUGUUUGACUGUGAUGUUUACCACACUCUUCCUGAGCAUCGCAUUAAGACCACAGGAGGGUUAAGUUGCAGUCUCGCACAUCUUUCAUAUUCAGGGCUCAUGAGAAUCCACCCACAGCCCUUUAAUCAGAGCUCGCUUCUCCACAUCUCUGCUUCACGCCUGUGUUUUUCCAAAUGUCACUUGUCUUGACACCAGUUGAGGCUGCAUAUUGGAUCAGAUGCAUCACCAAAGAAAUUAUCUGCGAGAUUUAAUUCAGAACUUCAUCAGCACAGUCCUCCACCCUCCACCAAAAAUUACAUAUUGUGGC